GCGGCGUGCUUAACACAUGCAAGUCGAACGAACCUUCGGGUUAGUGGCGGACGGGUGAGUAACGCGUGAGAAUCUGCCCUCAGGAGGGGGAUAACGGUUGGAAACGACCGCUAAUACCCCAUAUGCCUUCUGGUGAAAUGAAUUUCGCCUGAGGAUGAGCUCGCGUCUGAUUAGCUAGUUGGUGAGGUAAUGGCUCACCAAGGCUUCGAUCAGUAGCUGGUCUGAGAGGAUGAUCAGCCACACUGGGACUGAGACACGGCCCAGACUCCUACGGGAGGCAGCAGUGGGGAAUUUUCCGCAAUGGGCGAAAGCCUGACGGAGCAACGCCGCGUGAGGGACGAAGGCCUCUGGGCUGUAAACCUCUUUUCUCAAGGAAGAAGAUAUGACGGUACUGAGGAAUAAGCCACGGCUAAUUCCGUGCC
rnacentral:rRNA from 1 species